UAGUGUUACAGCUCCUUUAGAGAAUUUGUCCAGCAGGUUUUCCAGUCCUUACCAAAAGACCCCA
rnacentral:snRNA from 1 species